UACCAGCUCUUCGAGUGGUGUGGAUGUUUAUUGGGCCUAAAGCAUCCGUAGCUGGCUGGGCAAGUCCCCUGUUAAAUCCACCGAUUUAAUCGUUGGAGUGCGGGGGAUACUGUUCGGCUAGGGGACGGGAGAGGCAGACGGUAUUUUCGGGGUAGGGGUGAAAUCCUAUAAUCCCGAGAAGACCACCAGUGGCGAAGGCUGUCUGCUAGAACGCGCCCGACGGUGAGGGAUGAAAGCUGGGGGAGCGAACCGGAUUAGAUACCCUGGUAGUCCCAGCUGUAAACGAUGCAGGCUAGGUGUUUGGACGGCCACGUGCCGUUCUAGUGCCGCAGGGAAGCCGUUAAGCCUGCCGCCUGGGGAUACGGCCGCAAGGCUGAAACUUAAGGAAUUGGCGGGGGAGCACCACAAGGGGUGAAGCUUGCGGUUU
rnacentral:rRNA from 1 species